GGACCCGCACAAGCGGUGGAGCAUGUGGUUUAAUUCGAUGCAACGCGAAAAACCUUACCUACUCUUGACAUACUUGGAAGCUCUUGUAAUGAGAGUGUGCCUUUUGGAGCCAAGAUACAGGUGCUGCAUGGCUGUCGUCAGCUCGUGUCGUGAGAUGUUCCGUUAAGUCGGAUAACGAGCGCAACCCUUACCCUUAUUUGCCAGCGAUUCGGUCGGGAACUAUAAGGGGACUGCCGGUGAUAAACCGGAGGAAGGUGAGGACGACGUCAAGUCAUCAUGGCCCUUACGAGUAGGGCUACACACGUGCUACAAUGCUACGGACAAAGGGCAGCAAACUCGCGAGAGCUAGCA
rnacentral:rRNA from 1 species